GAACCAUGAUGGGGACAUUUACGUAGGAGAUCCUUGAAGCUCUCAUGUGCUUCAAAAAGUGUUUGGAGUCCCCUUGCCGGAAUGCAGAAAUCUCUUGUCUCAAUCU